rnacentral:rRNA from 1 species
GACGAACGCUGGCGGCGUGCUUAAUACAUGCAAGUCAACGACUUUUAGAGUAGCAAUAUUCUAAAGGAAGUGGCGCACGGGUGAGUAACACGUAGGUAAUCUGCCUUCAGGACUGACACAACUCGUCGAAAGACGGGCUAAUAUCAGAUAAUGCAGCGGCUCCGCAUGGAGACAGUUGUUAAAGUACAAGCGCCUGAAGAUGAGCCUGCGGUCCAUUAGCUAGUUGGUAGAGUAACAGCCUACCAAGGCAACGAUGGAUAGCUGGUCUGAGAGGAUGAUCAGCCACACUGGAACUGAGACACGGUCCAGACUCCUACGGGUGGCUG